rnacentral:rRNA from 1 species
GACGAACGCUGGCGGCGUGCUUAACACAUGCAAGUCGAACGGUUAAGCGCCUUCCUUUUUGGUGGGUGUGGUUGAGUGGCGAACUGGUGAUUAACACGUGAGUAACCUGCCCCCUUCUUCUGGAUAACCGCAUGAAAGUGUGGCUAAUACGGGAUAUUCUGGGUCUUUCGCAUGAUGGGUCUGGGAAAGUUAUUGUUUCGGGGGGGGAUGGGCUCGCGGCCUAUCAGCUUGUUGGUGGGGUGAUGGCCUACCAAGGCGGUGACGGGUAGCCGGCCUGAGAGGGUGGACGGUCACACAGGGACGGAGACACGGCCCAGACUCCGAGGGGAGGCAGCAGUGGGGAAUAUUGGACAAAGGGCGCAAGCCUGAUGCAGCGACGCAGCGGGAGGGAUGGAGGCCUGCGGGUUGUGAACCUCUUUCGCCAGUGAAGCAGGCCUGCCUCGUUUGUGGGUGGGUUGACGGUAGCUGGAGAAGAAGCGCCGGCUAACUACGUG